rnacentral:rRNA from 1 species
ACUGAAUAGAUACCCGGGUAGUCCACGCCGUAAACGAUGAAUACUUGGUGUUAGAGGUAUUGACCCCUCUAGUGCCGAAAGCUAAACGCGUUAAGUAUUCCGCCUGGGAAGUACGGUCGCAAGAUUAAAACUCAAAGAAAUUGACGGGGGCCCGCACAAGCGGUGGAGCAUGUGGUUCAAUUCGAUGCAACGCGAAGAACCUUACCUGGUCUUGACAUGUAUUGGAAGACUACCAGAGAUGGUGUCGCCUUCGGGCCGAUACACAGGUGCUGCAUGGCUGUCGUCAGCUCGUGUCGUGAGAUGUUGGGUUAAGUCCCGCAACGAGCGCAACCCUUGCCUUUAGUUGCCAGCAUUCAGUUGGGCACUCUAAAGGGACUGCCGACGUUAAGUCGGAGGAAGGUGGGGUAUGACGUCAAGUCCUCAUGGCCUUUAUGACCAGGGCCACACACGUGCUACAAUGGUCGGUACAGAGAGAUGCUAAGUCGCAAGAUGGUGCUAACCU